AACCUGGUUGGGUGGUCUGCCUUCAUGGUACGUACUGCCUGGCCAGGUUCUACCUCUUGGUGAGCCGGCAUGCCCUUCACUGGGUGUGUCGGGGAACCAGGACUUUUACCUUGAGAAAAUUAGAGUGUUCAAAGCAGGCUCAUGCCCGAAUACAUUAGCAUGGAAUAACAAAGUAGGACGUGCGGUUCUAUUUUGUUGGUUUCUAGAGUCGCCGUA
rnacentral:rRNA from 1 species